AGGCGCGUAGCUCAGUUGGUUAGAGCACCACCUUGACAUGGUGGGGGUCGGAAGUUCGAGUCUUCUCGCGCCUACCA
rnacentral:tRNA from 2 species